rnacentral:rRNA from 1 species
CAUGUAGGCGGUUUCGUAAGCCUGGUGUGAAAUCCUGCAGCUUAACUGUAGAAUGGCAUUGGGUACUGCGAGACUUGAAUCACGGAGGGGAAACUAGAAUUCCAGGUGUAGGGGUGGAAUCUGUAGAUAUCUGGAAGAAUACCGGUGGCGAAGGCGGGUUUCUAGCCGAUGAUUGACGCUGAGGUGCGAAAGUGCGGGGAGCAAACAG